rnacentral:rRNA from 1 species
AAGGAAGGCAGCAGGCGCGCAAAUUACCCACUCCCGGCACGGGGAGGUAGUGACGAAAAAUAACGAUACGGGACUCAUCCGAGGCCCCGUAAUCGGAAUGAGUACACUCUAAACCCUUUAACGAGGAUCAAUUGGAGGGCAAGUCUGGUGCCAGCAGCCGCGGUAAUUCCAGCUCCAAUAGCGUAUAUUAAAGUUGUUGCGGUUAAAAAGCUCGUAGUCGAAUCUGUGUCCCGCGCCGCCGGUUCAUCGCUCGCGGUGUUUAACUGGCGUGUCCGCGGGACGUCCUGCCGGUGGGCUCAGCCCCUUCAGUGGGGCGGCCCAACUUCAAAUCCCACCGCGGUGCUCUUCACUGAGUGUCGAGGUGGGCCGGCACGUUUACUUUGAACAAAUUAGAGUGCUUAAAGCAGGCUAAAACUUCGCCUGAAUACUGUGUGCAUGGAAUAAUGGAAUAGGACCUCGGUUCUAUUUUGUUGGUUUUCGGAACCCCGAGGUAAUGAUUAAUAGGAACGGAUGGGGGCAUUCGUAUUGCGACGUUAGAGGUGAAAUUCUUGGAUCGUCGCAAGACGGACAGAAGCGAAAGCAUUUGCCAAAAACGCUUUCAUUGAUCAAGAACGAAAGUUAGAGGUUCGAAGGCGAUCAGAUACCGCCCUAGUUCUAACCAUAAACGAUGCCAGCUAGCGAUCCGCCGACGUUCCUCCGAUGACUCGGCGGGCAGCUUCCGGGAAACCAAAGCUUUUGGGUUCCGGGGGAAGUAUGGUUGCAAAGCUGAAACUUAAAGGAAUUGACGGAAGGGCACCACCAGGAGUGGAGCCUGCGGCUUAAUUUGACUCAACACGGGAAACCUCACCAGGCCCGGACACCGGAAGGAUUGACAGAUUGAGAGCUCUUUCUUGAUUCGGUGGGUGGUGGUGCAUGGCCGUUCUUAGUUGGUGGAGCGAUUUGUCUGGUUAAUUCCGAUAACGAACGAGACUCUAGCCUGCUAACUAGGCGUAUUUUCGACAUCUCAAAGGCCCGCCGGCCCGGCGCUCUCGCGUCGCGGUCGCGCGCGGUUUUUACUGUCGGCGUACAAUCAAUUCUUCUUAGAGGGACAGGCGGCUUCUAGCCGCACGAGAUUGAGCAAUAACAGGUCUGUGAUGCCCUUAGAUGUUCUGGGCCGCACGCGCGCUACACUGAAGGAAUCAGCGUGUCCUCCCUGGCCGAGAGGCCCGGGUAACCCGCUGAACCUCCUUCGUGCUAGGGAUUGGGGCUUGCAAUUGUUCCCCAUGAACGAGGAAUUCCCAGUAAGCGCGAGUCAUAAGCUCGCGUUGAUUACGUCCCUGCCCUUUGUACACACCGCCCGUCGCUACUACCGAUUGAAUGAUUUAGUGAGGUCUUCGGACCGGUACGCGGUGGCGCUCCCGCGUCGCCGAUGUUGCUGGGAAGAUGACCAAA